rnacentral:rRNA from 1 species
GUUUGAUCAUGGCUCAGGAUCAACGCUGGCGGCGUGCCUAAUGCAUGCAAGUCGAACGGGGUGGCCUUCGGGCCGCUUACGUGGCGGACGGGUGAGGAACACGUGGGCAACCUGCCCAAUGGUGGGGGAUAACCGCUGGAAACAGUGGGUAAUACCGCAUGAGCUCUUUGACCGAGUGGGGUUGAAGAGGAAAGCCUUCGGGCGCCGAUGGAGGGGCCUGCGUCCGAUUAGCUAGACGGUGGGGUAACGGCCUACCGUGGCGAUGAUCGGUAGCUGGUUUGAGAGGAUGAUCAGCCACACGGGGACUGAGACACGGCCCCGACUCCUACGGGAGGCAGCAGCAAGGAAUUUUCCGCAAUGGGCGCAAGCCUGACGGAGCAACGCCGCGUGUGGGAUGACGCUUUUCGGAGUGUAAACCACUGUUCAUGGGGACGAAGCACUGACGGUACCCAUGGAGGAAGGCCCGGCUAACUACGUGCCAGCAGCCGCGGUAAUACGUAGGGGUCGAGCGUUGUCCGGAGUUACUGGGCGUAAAGCGCAUGCAGGCGGCUCAUUACGCAUGGCGUGAAAGCCCCCGGCUCAACCGGGGAGGGUCGUCGUGAACGGGUGAGCUUGAGGGUAUCAGGGGCUGGUGGAAUUCCCGGUGUAGUGGUGAAAUGCGUAGAGAUCGGGAGGAACACCUGUGGCGAAGGCGGCCAGCUGGGAUACACCUGACGCUGAGAUGCGAAGGCGUGGGGAGCGAACGGGAUUAGAUACCCCGGUAGUCCACGCAGUAAACGAUGCAGACUAGGCGUGGGAAGACUUGACCCCUUCCGUGCCGGGAGCUACGCGAUAAGUCUGCCGCCUGGGGAGUACGGUCGCAAGACUAAUACUCAAAGGAAUUGACGAGCGCCCGCACAAGUUGCGGAGUUUGUUCUUUAAUUAGUCGCAUCGCGAAGAUCCUUCACAGGGUUUCACAUAUCACUGCAUGCUCUACAUAUAAAGAUGCCUUCGAGGUUGCGAUACAGGUUCUUCAUGUCUGUUGUCAACUCGUGUCGUGAAAUGUUGCAUUAAGUCCCGCAAUGAGCGCAACUCCUGUGGUCAGUUUCGAUCUUUUGACCAGACUGCCGGAAGCUAACCGGAGAAAGAUGUGGAUAAUGUCACGUCAGCAUGGCCCUUACAUCGUGGGCGAGAAACACGCUACAAUAUCCGGGACACAGUGUACCCAAGCGGUACCGCGGAGACAUUUCCAGAAACCCGGUUUCAAUUUGAAUCGACGUCUGCAACUCGCCCUCGUGAAGGUGGAGUCGCUUAGUAAAUCGCAGGAUCAGCAAGUACCUGCGGUGAAUAUGUUCCCGGGCCUUGUACACACCGCCCGUCACGUCAUG